GACGAACGCUGGCGGCGUGCUUAACACAUGCAAGUCGAACGGAAAGGCCCUGCUUUUGUGGGGUGCUCGAGUGGCGAACGGGUGAGUAACACGUGAGUAACCUGCCCUUGACUUUGGGAUAACUUCAGGAAACUGGGGCUAAUACCGGAUAGGAGCUCCUGCUGCAUGGUGGGGGCUGGAAAGUUUCGGCGGUUGGGGAUGGACUCGCGGCUUAUCAGCUUGUUGGUGGGGUAGUGGCUUACCAAGGCUUUGACGGGUAGCCGGCCUGAGAGGGUGACCGGCCACAUUGGGACUGAGAUACGGCCCAGACUCCUACGGGAGGCAGCAGUGGGGAAUAUUGCACAAUGGGCGGAAGCCUGAUGCAGCAACGCCGCGUGCGGGAUGACGGCCUUCGGGGUGUAAACCGCUUUCGCCUGUGACGAAGCGUGAGUGACGGUAAUGGGUAAAGAAGCACCGGCUAAAUACG
rnacentral:rRNA from 1 species